rnacentral:rRNA from 1 species
GCCCCUUAACCCAUGAAAAGUCCAGCCUGCCCAGUGAUUAAUUAAACGGCCGCGGUACCCUAACCGUGCAAAGGUAGCGCAAUCACCUGUUCUUUAAAUAAGGACUAGUAUGAAUGGCACCACGAGGGUUACACUGUCUCCCCCUUUUAAUCAGUGAAACUGAUCUUCCCGUGAAAAAGCGGGAAUACACAUAUAAGACGAGAAGACCCCAUGAAGCUUUAAAUUCAGAAUCAACUGCCUACAAUUACACCACUAUAAUCAGGCCGACCUGAUCUCUGAUUUUCGGUUGGGGCAACCACGGAGAAAAGCAAAUCCUCCAUGAUGAACGGAAUUUUUAUUCCUUAUCCACGAGCUACAACUCUAAGAAUCAAUAAUCUGACAAAAUUGACCCAAACUAUUUUGAUCAACGAACCAAGUUACUCUGGGGAUAACAGCGCAAUCUAUUUCAAGAGCCCAUAUCGACAAAUAGGUUUACGACCUCGAUGUUGGAUCGGGGCAUCCAAGUGGCGCAACCGCUACUAAUGGUUCGUUUGUUCAACGAUUAAAGCCCUACGUGAUCUGAGUUCAGACCGGAA